GGAAUUUUGGACAAUGGGGGCAACCCUGAUCCAGCCAUGCCGCGUGAGUGAAGAAGGCCUUCGGGUUGUAAAGCUCUUUCGGACGGAAAGAAAACGGAGUGGUUAAUACCUGCUCUGGAUGACGGUACCGUCAUAAGAAGCACCGGCUAACUACGUGCCAGCAGCCGCGGUAAUACGUAGGGUGCGAGCGUUAAUCGGAAUUACUGGGCGUAAAGCGUGCGCAGGCGGUUGAUUAAGACAGGCGUGAAAUCCCCGGGCUUAACCUGGGAACUGCGCUUGUGACUGGUCGGCUAGAGUACGGCAGAGGGGGGUGGAAUUCCACGUGUAGCAGUGAAAUGCGUAGAGAUGUGGAGGAACACCGAUGGCGAAGGCAGCCCCCUGGGCCGAUACUGACGCUCAUGCACGAAAGCGUGGGUAGC
rnacentral:rRNA from 1 species